GUCUUCUCCUUCCCAAGGGCUACGGAUAGUUUUUCCAUGGUCCCCCUCAAGGAUCGGAGCUCGUCGGAGCCUUGAACUGAAAUGGCCUAGGCUCUUUCAGACAACUGUUUCUGAAGGCGAGCAACCUCGUCGGUCGCUGUCUUGAGCCUCCUUCUGUAGUUGUCUAUUUACCCGCACCAGCCGACUCGAUGAGUGUUGUAAUUCGUCUCGACAUCCUGUAGCUACUUCUGGAGGUCGGAGAAUUUUUUCAACCAGUCCUGACCGCCUUUCGGACUUCUGCAAGAAUCGGACUCCGUCCAAACUUCUACAG
rnacentral:lncRNA from 1 species